CCAUACCAAUAAGAAAAGAGAGAAUGGACGGUGAUGGUGGGAAGUGAUGAGUUCCAUACCAAUAAGAAAAGAGAGAAUGGAUGGUGAUGGUGGGAAGUGAUGAGAGUAAUGGCGAAAGAGUGAGAGCGAGAGCGAGAAAGGAAUAUGGGUGAAAGUUGAUGAAAUUGAAGUCCGGGAGUUCAUCAGAUUAGGACACUUAAGGCAAUGAUUUAGUCUAACAAAGAGAGAGUGAAUAAAUGGAAAGAAUAAAUGGGAGUUAAUGAAUGGGUUAUGAGUUUGAAAAGGUUAAGAUUUCUUGAGAAAAACUAAGAAUAGUGGUUUAGUGAAUAUGAAUAUUAAGGAUGUCUUCAGUUUGGGUUAAAUCAGUGGUAUAUUUCUAAUUGUCUGACUGAUCAUGUCCCAUCAGAUUGAUUUUUGAAGAACCGCCAUGCGAUAUUUUUUCAAGAAGUUGAAUUAAUAUUUGAAUUAUGUGGCCUAUGAAACCCUUUUCUCAAUCACCUUGAUCUACUUUUGAUUUUCACGAUCUUUCCUCGUUUUGUAUCUCCUCUCGUUCACUUUUUUGGAACUUCUGACUACGGGUACAUUACUUUCUGCCAUGACUCCCAUUGAGUUCCCCAUGGUUAAGAGGUUACCUUCUAACUUUACUUCCAGCAAUCUUCAUCGAGCUAUCCCUAGGGUUUCUAUCUACUGAUUCUUAUUAUAUCCGACUUCGAAGACGAUUGUGUUGUAUUUUUCUCUACUCCCGCUAUUUUCGAAGAUGCCCAAAAUGGGAAGAAAUUGGUUUUCUAUAUGAAGCAAUUUGAAUAUGAGCUGUCUUUUCUCCUUUCUCACUUUUUCAUAGAGAUUUUUCAAAUUUCACCAAGUUUUCCUAGGAUGUUGACUCUAACCUCUAUUUUGUUUAUGAGGGCUUUUUGAGGCAGUGUGCUGGGAAUGGUGUUUUAGGUAGUCCAUUAUUCUCUUUUAAGUCUCUUUUUAGGAUUACCAAGUCUAAUAACGUGUUCUGGAGUUUUUGUGGUCGUAUGGGUCUUUCUAUUUUUGUUGGCCACAAAGGCACAUUCAUCAUGGGAGGGAGAGUUUAGAGUUUUGCUAUUGUCUGUCUGAGGAGAAAGUUAAGUCUCUUUUUAGGAUUACCAAGUCUAAUAACGUGUUCUAGAGUUUUUGUGGUCAUAUGGGUCUUUCUAUUUUUGUUAGAAACAAAGACCCAUUCAUCAUUGGGGGGAGAGUUUAGAGUUUUGCUAUUGUCUGUCCGAGGAGAAAGCAAGCAUGGGGUUUCGACACCACUUAGGGAAGUGUUAAUCCUUUGUGCAAUGCCUUCCCUUGUCUGUCAGAGUAAGAAUAGUUAUAUUUUGCUCGAUUGACAUCUCUUCCAUUUAAAUAUGACAUUUUCAGGUGCUUUUUGCUUCUUCCUAAGGAUAGCUACUUCGCUACUGGUUUGACCAUAAUGUCCCAGAAUUUUACAUUAUCCAAGGAUUUCGUUAAACAGGCUGUCGAGUAGUUCACUGCUCAAAAGACUACAGAGGUCAUUUACAAUGCCCUUGGUCUUGAACCUCAGCAGAAGGAAAAAUGUGUAACCCUUGACAAUCAUGGGAUUACCCUAGAAUACAGUCAUUGAGGAGAGUGUCUUGGAGAUUAUGAAGGAGGCAAGCAUUAGGAAAACAAUUGAAAAAGGGGUGUUCAGCAAACGACACAUGAAGGAGAUCGAUCCUGUUAUCUCUGCUAUUUAGUUUUUCCCAUUCAACCAUUCCUUGGAUAGGUUAUUCAAAGUUUUAGUGCAUAAAAAAGGCGGCAUUGAUUGUAAAGCUGCGUUAUUAUGACUAUAUGGUAGGGGAUCUGACUCAAUCAUGGAGAUUAUCGACUCCCUUUCUUUGGCGUCUGAUUUUUUCAUUGCACUUGCAGAGAUGAGCUUCUUCUCUUUGGUGUUGGAAGGUUUGGAUUUUGCCUCUUGCUACUGUUUGUCCUUUUGCUUCUUUAAUAAGUUUUUAUGGCAUCAAGUACUAUGUAGGAGCAAUAAUUGUCGAUCCUUUUCUCGUUACCAAUGGUAGCCAAAGGUUCUUCCAUGGGAAGGAGCAGCAAUUCCAAAAGUUUGAUCGGAUUUAAUUUUCAAGUUAUUUGUAAGUGGAUCUUUAAAAUUUUAUUCUUAAUGAGUUUUUUUUAUAAAUUUUUUAGACC